rnacentral:lncRNA from 1 species
AGGAAAAGGUGGGAAAAGCUGCAAAAAAGGGCAAGAAAAGCUGAGAGAAAAAAAGUUGGAAAGCUGAGAGGAAAACUCAGAGAAAGCUGAGGAAAAGGGCAAGAAAAGCUGAGAGGAAAAGGCAGGAAUUGCUGACAGGAAAAGGUGUGAAAAGGAGAAAAAAAAGGGGCAAGAAAAGGUGAGAAGAAAAAGGGGGAAAAGCUGAGGAAAAGGGCAAGAAAAUAUGAUAGGAAAAGGUGGGAAAAGGGCAAGAAAAGGUGAGAGAAAAAAGGAAUCGCCGAGAGGAAAAAGCGGGGAUCGGUGAGGGGAAAAAAGGAGGAAAAACCGAGGAAAAAGAGCGCCGAGAGGCAGGAGGAGCCCGCCCGCCAUCGCUGCCCGGCGGCGCCAUGGAGGAGGCUGCGCAGGGGUCCGGCCAUGGUGGCGGUGAGGAGCUUCCCACCCCGCCGGCGCAGGGGGGACCGCGGGUGGAGGCGCUGCUGGCGCGGAUCCGGGCUCUGCACCAAGCCUGCCAGGCCCGGGCGCAGGAGCUGGCGGAGGCUCAGGGCCACAGCGAGGAGCUGCGGCGGCACCUGGAGCAGCUGGAGGAGCAGCUGGCGGCGCUCGAGGGGCUGUGGCAGCAGCAGCGCGGUGAGGCCGCGCUCCCAGCGCGCCCCGGGGCCGUGCCCCCC